UACGGGGGGGGCAAGCGUUGUUCGGAAUUACUGGGCGUAAAGGGCGCGUAGGUGGCCAACUAAGUCAGACGUGAAAUCCCUCGGCUUAACCGGGGAACUGCGUCUGAUACUGGAUGGCUUGAGUUUGGGAGAGGGACGCGGAAUUCCAGGUGUAGCGGUGAAAUGCGUAGAUAUCGGAAGGAACACCGGUGGCGAAAGCGGCGCGCUGGACCUCUUCUGACGCUGAGGCACGAAAGCCAGGGGAGCAAACGGG
rnacentral:rRNA from 1 species